GUGGGGAAUCUUGCGCAAUGGGCGAAAGCCUGACGCAGCCAUGCCGCGUGAAUGAUGAAGGUCUUAGGAUUGUAAAAUUCUUUCACCGGGGACGAUAAUGACGGUACCCGGAGAAGAAGCUCCGGCUAACUUCGUGCCAGCAGCCGCGGUAAUACGAAGGGGGCUAGCGUUGCUCGGAAUUACUGGGCGUAAAGGGCGCGUAGGCGGACAGCUUAGUCAGAGGUGAAAGCCCAGGGCUCAACCUUGGAAUUGCCUUUGAUACUGGCUGUCUUGAGUUUGGGAGAGGUGAGUGGAACUCCGAGUGUAGAGGUGAAAUUCGUAGAUAUUCGGAAGAACACCAGUGGCGAAGGCGACUCACUGGCCCAAUACUGACGCUGAGGCGCGAAAGCGUGGGGAGCAAAAGGGAUUAGAUACCCGAGUAGUCC
rnacentral:rRNA from 1 species